rnacentral:snRNA from 1 species
AUAUUAAGAAGAAGAAUUUGGCUGUGGAGGUGCUCUAUCACCCAUCCAUUGGGUCGUCAAGUCUGAUUGGGCUGACGUGGCUGGCUAGGCAGGUGUCUUCUUCCUCCCUCACCACUGUAUGGGCAUUCCUCCUGAAGCUGUGUGCUCUGAGGAUGGCCUUCCCAAAAUAGAGGAGGACCGACCAGUUUUCAGUCAAGGGUAUAUGAGGUAGCUUUGCUCCCCUCCUAGACCCUCCAAACAAGCUCUCAAAAAUGAGUAAAUGGCCUGGAGAGAUGGCUCAGCGGUUAAGGCAUUUGCCUGCAAAAAAAACCCAAAAAAGCCAAAGGAUCCCAUUU